rnacentral:misc_RNA from 1 species
GGAAACUCCCGACUUCCUCAGGAUGAAGUUGAUUCUUUAUCCAUACCUUGGUGCCGGGACGCCGAUUGAGGAAUGGGCGGCGCCUUCCAAAUUUAUUGGAAGGGUUUAUAAGGCAACAUCGAACAUAUAACAAGCU